UAGCUUUUUAUUUAUUUAUUUAAGUUUAUAUAAUUAAUUAAAAUAUUUUUAAAAUAUAAGAAUUAAAAAUCAUCACUCUCUUAUUCACCAAAUAAAAACAAAUUUUAAAAUAAUAAAAAUAAAUAAUAAUCUCUCUUAUUCAUCACUGAUCAUUAAAGAACAACAAAUAGAUAUGUAUCAUCAAUACCUAUAAUCUACCACCUCAAUUCAUAAAAUCCCCAACCCAAAAAAAAAAAAUUUAAUGCUUGAAGAGAGCCAUUGCAGCCAAGACGAGCGACGACAACAUCACAGCGCCGGAGAGGCCGGACGAAUGCGCCGAUCCGGCAUCCAUUCCCGGUGCCGGUGCUGGUGCUCCAGAGAAAUCCUGAGCAGAAACGGUGGCGGAAGCGAAGAUUGCGGCCACAAUGAAGGCGACGGCGAUGGCAUUGAAUGUGAUUGCUUGAGCCAUUGUGAGAAAUCGAGAGGCUAAGAGCAAAGGAAAUUGAUUUGAUAUCGGAGAAAGGCGGAGUGAUUGAUGGAAUGAGAGGGUGGAGGUGGUGAAUUUAUAGGGGUUUGGGAGAAGGCGUGUGGGACCAGAUCAAUUGAGUAGAGCGACAGGAAGCUGCGGGUCGUGGACUUCGUCCGUGUGUAAGGUAGGCGGUUGCUGACUCUUGCCUUCAAAGAAAACUCCCCUGCUAAAUUUGAAGUUCUUAUUCUAUAAGAAAUCCAUAAAAAUAAUUGUUGAAAAUUUUAUGCAACUUUUAAAUGUAUUUAAUAGUCUUUUUUGCCCCUUAAAUUUAGGCUAAGGGAAAAAAUACAUCAAAAUAAAAAUAAAUAAAUAAAUACAUAUAUAUUUAAAAUCAAUAAAUUAUUUUUAUAUAUAUUUCUUCAAAUUUAUUUUAUUAAUUUUUCUCAAGAUUAAAUAAUUUAAAAAUAUAUAAAAUUUUAAUUAAUUGUAAUUAUAUUUAUUUUCUUAUAAUGAAAUUGAAUAUGAAUAUAAGAAAAUCACUUUUUUUUGUAAAAAAAAAAAAAAAAAAUCUACUUCAUGAUAUUUUUAGAACAGGAGUCUGAUUAAAAAUUUAAAUAUUCUCAAUUCAUUUAUUAUAUUUUCAAAAAAAAUUUAAAAAUAAUUUUUAUUUAUACUUCUUUAUUUUCAAUUAAUAUUCAAAUUUAUAUAAUUAUUCUUUGAUUUUAGGACAAUAAAUAUGUUAAAUAUGUCAAAAAAAAAUUUAUUAGAUAUGUUUUUUAGUCUGAAAAAUAACUUUUUGUUUUUACAAACAAUUGUUAAUAAUAUAAUUUCACAUGUUAUGAUUAAUAUCAUAAAAAAAUUAUUGUUAUGUUCUAUUGUAUAAAACCACAUUGAGUAUUUUUAACCAUUUUUUAUUUUACAAAAUAAAGACUUUAUAUAGAAAGUUAAAAAAAUAUAUAUCUGUGGACCCUGCAUUUCGACUCAUGCGUUUCCCACUCGAUGGCAAACUCGAUUUUAAUUUUGAAAAUUUUGAUUUUAUUGAUUAUGAAAAUGACUCGGAGUCGCCACUUAUUUUUGUUUUAUUUUUAAAAGGGUAAACAAAAUAAGAAAGAAAAACCAUAAGUGUGACUCCUUACUUUGGAAAAGGUGGUCUGUGAAAAACCGGAUCGGGUUCGAGGGUCAGGUUACUUGGAAGGUACGGUAAAAACCGUAGCACCCUUCUAAGUCCCUAAAAUGGGGUCUCUACUAAUAAAAUGAAGCAAUCAUGGCAGUGGACGAGUAGAUCAAUGAGUACCCAGAAUAAAUCAUGCACACGUGAGAAUCAAAAUAUGCUUGGACAAUUACCAGAGUGAAAGUAGGUGAGUACCUGGGCGACGAGCCACCAUGCGCUAUCAAGAGAGAGGUUAGUGCACAAUUAAGAAAUAAUAGCAUGCAUGUCGGAGAGCAGGAUAAAUAAAUCAUGUAUGAUAACCAAGUCAAUCAAUCAAAUCAAUCAAUAGAUCAUAAGAAAAUCACAUAUGUUGGGCCCCCACCAAAGCCCGAUUGAUCUUGCAUGAAUUAAUCUCACAAAUUCCAUUAUUUUGGAAUUAUGAAAAUUCAUUAUUCUUGCUUAUGUAAAACCAAGAAAAACAUAAGGUUUGAGAAUCGGAGUAGAAUUAAAAUUGUUCAAGUGAAAAUUGGAUUUUUGGAAUUUAUUUGAAAAUUGGAGCUUUGGGAAUUAAAUUUGAAAAUUGGAAUUUUGGGAAUUAAAUUUAAGAAUUGGAAUUUUGAAUAUUAAAUUAGAAAGAAAUUAGAAUUUUGGAAAUCGGAAAUUAAGUUUGGAAAUUGGAAUUUUGAAAAAAAUGUUAAAAAUAUGAAAUUUUAAAAUAAAUAAAUAAAUGGAAUAAUAAUAAUAAGGACGAAAAUAAUGAUUAAAUAAAUGAAUGGAAAUAUUGGAAUUUUUGAAAUUGAAAAUUAAAUUCGAAAGCCGGAAUUUUGAAGAAUUUGUUUAAAGAUGGAAUUUUAAAAAUAAACAAAUAAAUAAAUGAAUAAAAUGACAAUGAUUAAAUAAACUGGUGUGAAAAUUAAAAAUUGGGAAUUUAAAUUUAAAUUUAGAAGAAAUUGGAGUUUAGGAAAAUUAUUUGAAGAUUAAAGUUUUUAAAAUUAAAUUUUGGCAUCAAAAGGUGAAGAAGAUAAUAAUAGUAAUAAAUAAAUAAAAUGACAUAUGGAUUUGGGUUAGUGAAAACCGGGCCUUUUUUCAUUUAUAUGACAUGUAACAUAUGGCUUUGGGUAAGUUUGAGAGUGUGAAUGCAACUUUAAUAAAGAAUCAAAGUCAAAAAAGUGAAUAGGUAACUUUGAAGAAAACUAAUAUUUUGUAUGGGAACUUACUGUACUCUUUAAUAUAAAUUAUGCAAUCUCCUGGGGGGCACUCACAGUAGGCUUCGCUUUCACUACUGCAGACUUGACUGCAGGGGGCACCAGCACAUCAACCUUGAUGGGUUGUUCUUCAGAUUUUCAAUUGCUCUCAACCCCAUUGAUGCCGCUGUCAAGUAAUAGCUCUCUGCUACCUUGCCGAGGAGGUUCCGUUGUUGCAUCUGGAAGUGAGCUAAUAGGUACGGGACCCCAUAGACUAACACAAAAGCUGUCCCAGUCAAUAUCUCCAUCAGGCGUGGUGCAAUUCGGCAUAUGAGCACUUCCUAAUGCUCGGUCACCUUUGGUGAGGACAUUCAGAGAAGCUCCAAUACCAACAUCGACCAUAACAUCAGUGGGAGUUGCAAGCAAUGACACCAUACUAACAAUCCGAAUAUUCUUCAAAUAUGAUUUUCAUUUCAUGGAUUACGGAAGACACAAAAUCCACAGGAAGGUCAUAAAGAACCUGCUCAAAGUUAUUGACGCCUUCUCAGUGCCUUUAACUUGUUGGCUUUCAACUUGUCCAAUAGGAAACAAGGCAAUAUCCCAAAGAUUCUGAUGUAGAGACCCCCCUCAAAGAACACCCCAAUCCAGACAGCCAAACUCAAACGAGAUGCCCAACACUCAAAGAAAGAAAGAGAACAGAAACAGAGGAAAAUAGAAUGAAGAAACAGAGCAUGCGGGAGAGAGGAUGAUGCCUUUAACUCCAAAACCUAUUUUAAUGAAGAUUAAGAAGCUUUCAAAAGAAGCUAGUGGGGGAUCCUAACACAUGAAUAAGUAGCGCAACCAUCAUACGGUACACUUAGAAGAAGAACAGAGAUUCGACAAGUAACCAUGAAAAGUGAGUUUAACAUCUUAGAUGAUCAAAGCAGGUAUUCGGAUAUCAGCAAAAAAAUAUAGCAAAACGGUAAUAAUGGAGAAACUUAAGACGUAAGAAUGCUAAACCUGCGUGAAUCCUCUCAAGCAGAAAUUUUUUCCCGAGUAAAAGAGUCCUUUCCCCUUUUUCAUCUGUCUCCCCCCUCCUCCAGCUCUCACUCUCCUUUUCUAUCUUCCACAGUAAGCCACUACCGGCUCCACUAUUGCUCCACUCAGCAAGUAUGACACCUCUUACCACCAGCAUGGCCGGCCAUCUUGACUCGCUGCCUCCACCAGCUCGUCUCAUGUGUCGGGAAGGGGUCCCCCAUUUGCCUAGGGUGCUGCCAGCUGCUGGAGAUGAGAAGGCACCCUUCCAAUGUUAUAAAAUCCUUACAAAAAAACUUAAAAGUCCCCGGCUCUUGAAAGGGGGUCUACAAUAUCACUAAAAACUUCAAAAUAGUUUAUUUUUGUGUUUGAAAGUGAUAUUUUUUUAACUUACAUCUUAAGCAACUUUUAAAAAAAUUACUUUUCAAGCUUAAAAAGAAUAUUUUCACUUAUUAAAAGUCAAUAUAAUUGGGUUAAGAAAACAAUCCUCCUAAGUUAGAAUUGUAUUUCUUUAAUUUAUGUAAAACAAUUAUAACCUUAAUUCCUGCAUUACAAUAAUAAUCCUAAUUCCUUAAUUAUGCAAAUAAGACCCUAAAUUUGCAUAAAUUAUAAUGGUCAAGGAUUUUAGAACAAUAUGAUUUUUCAUGGUCACAUUAUUAAGAAGAGACAUACCUUUUAUUCGUAGAAAUUGUGUUUCUAUCCAUCAACUCUUUCACCCUUAAGUUUUUUCUUACGUGUAUUAUUGAUAUAAUAGAACGUUUAUUUUAUAGGGAGGAGAGAGGACUAGUUUCAUUGUAAAAAUAGAAGUGCACUAUCCAUCAAAGUGUUUUUAAUUUAGGAAACUAACUUCUUAAAAACUUACCUAUAGAUUUUAGAUUUAUUAUUUAUUAAACUAUAAUAUUUAAUUUGAUAUUUAAAUAAAUAUUAUAUAAUAAUAUACACAUGUGCCAUAUAAAAUUCUUACAUAUUGUACUUAAGACUUUUUUGACUUACUUGUAACUUUUAUUAAAAUAUAUAUAUAUUUUUAAAUUCUAUUUAAAAAAAAAGUGAGUUUCUACUCACUCAUGUAAAAUAAAUUCUUUUAAAAAUAAUUUAAGUUUAAUGCAUUCACUAAUCAAAUGUAAUAAGUAAGAUGAUCAAAGGUAGUAUUUAUAUUAUUAAAAAGUAGUACAUGAAUGGUUGUAUUUUUGACAAAAAAGUAUAUGAAAUACUAAUUAUUUUUAGACAUGUGCUUAAAAUUUGUAUUUUAUAAACUUGAAUUCUUAUUUUGUAGUUUUUUUUUCAUAUGGAUGUAUUUGAAUAUUGUAUCAAAAAAUUUAAAAUAAAUCUAAUUAAGAGAGUUAUAAUAUCAUAAUUAUGAAACAAAACUAAUUUAAUUAAGCAAAACACAAGAAGUGAUUAAUUGAAUUCUAAACUUUUUUCGAAAAAUACAUUUGAUUAAAUAACUAAUAGUUAAUGAAUAUAAAAAGAUAAGGCUAGAGAGAUGAAAAUUUGGUUUAGUGGUUUGGUGACUCCCAUCUACAUCCACUUCUCUUUAACCUCAUUCCAAGUAAGGGUUCCACUAUAUCGAGGUUUCAACCAAAGUCUUUAAGUUUACACUUGGAUUCAAUGGCUCAAAUGGGCACAUACAAAUCUUCUUAGAGUUCAACACCAACUUGAAGUUUCACACUCAAAUUUACUAAAAAAAUGGGAGUUUAAAGAGCAUUCAACCUAACACAAUAAAUGCUUGAAUACAUGAGAAGUUAGGAUGAAUACACAUGGGGCGCACUAAAAAUGAAUUUGCAAGUGAAAUAUUUGAUACACUAAAGAAAAAGAGAGCUUUGAGUGAGAGAAACAAGUAGGUAGAGAGAGUUUAAUGCAAAUAUAAGUUUUUUAUUUAUAAGUUUGCAACCUUAGAUACCUCAAAUAUAACUGACUAGCCUUUUUUGGUCAAGCUCCAAUUUGACUAUUUGACUAGUCGUUCAAUAAUUAAUGCACAACAGGUAAUCAUUAGUCCUUUGUAAGGUUUUAUUAGACCUUGACUGGGAAAAGGGUUGCCUUGAUCAUGAAUGCAGGCUUUCUAGAAGAGAGAGAAAGUUUUUCAUACCCUUAAUCGACCCUCAAUUGAGAAAGGUUCAAUGGAUUCCUAAUUAGUUGAACCGGUGUAGGACUUCCUUGAUCGAUUAGAUCAUUUUUGGCUUGAAACCUAUAUAUCUUUCUGAAAUCAUUUUAACACCUAGGCAACAUUUUUAGGUACCUCUAUAGGUUAAUUUGGGAUCAAUUUGCAUAAUGUUUUUGAAAACAUACUCAAAUUUUGAUAAAAUAUGAUAUUUAAAGCUUAAUUUCAAGAAAACCGAUUAUGAAAAUUAUGCAUGAAUAAGCUAAAAUCCCAAUUGAAACCAAGAUACUCAUUUUACAAUAAGUUCCUAAUCUUGAAUGACCUUUAUGAAUGAUUGACUUCUCUUUUCUUAGUUUCUUUCAAAGUAUUCGUGUCAUUUCUUUUGCUUUUCUCAAAUAAUACUUGAAACUUAACUUGAUUUAAACUAUUAACGUGCUUAACUAUGAUUUUAUAUUAUCAAGACAUACUUAAUGAGAACCCUUAAACUAACAAUAGCAACCCACAAUAUGUAACAUAAAUUAUAAUGCAAGAACAAUAAAAUAACAAGAGUUUCUUUGAUAAUAUUAAACAUCUUUUAGAAGUAUUCUUAAAAAUAGUUUUAUUUAUUUUAAGAAUGAAACUUUGUUUUACAACUAUACUGUAAAAAACAUUCCAAAAUUUAUGUAUAAUUUUAUUUUAUUUAAAAUAAUCUACAUUGUCUUGAAAAAUUAUUUUCACUUCAAAACUUGUUAAACAUGUUUUUGAAUUUAAAAAGCGAUUUUAUGUUCUAAAAAACUGUUUUUAAAAAAUAGUUUCAAAACGAGUCAAAGGCUUGUUUAACAAUACUUUUUCCUAAGUGGAUCAUUUAUGUAAAAUGGCAAAAUAUUAUGUUUUACAUGUCACAAAUUUAUUGAGUAUAAGUAUUGGAACCUAAACCAAUAAUAUUUCCAUUCAAGUAUAAUUUGCUUGCUUUAUUUUAAGAGUAAUUUGAUAUUACAUAAGUUUUCUUAAAUAUGAAAAAAUAGCUUUUUCUAUGAGUUAAAAUGAAGUUAUUUUAUAAAUAUUUGACUUUUAUAUUAAGUUGUUUGAAGUAAUAGAUUGAAAAAAAAAAAAGUUAAAACAAUAGUGUCCUAAGCAAUUUGGACGAGUUGACCUAACUCAACUGAUAUUUUGAUGGGUUUGAACAAAUAUUUUUAAUACUCAAAUUAAACUUAAUUAAGUUUUCUCAACUCAAGUUCAAUUUGGGUUAGACUUGAGUUAAGGUCGAAAUAACUCAAGUCUAAUCCAAACCCCAUUUAAUGUUUUUAUAAUGUUUAUGUCAUACAUAAUAACAUUCAUUUUAUUUUUAAUUUUUUUAAAAUAUCAAAUUCUAAUUAUAUUAUAUACUUUUUCAUUUUUAGAAAGAUAUAUAAUUUUAUUUUUAUUUUUUUAUUAUUAUCUUGAAUUUUCCUCUUAUUUACUAUUUAAAUUUUAGUAUAAAUAUAUAAGUUUUGUUUUUUCUUUCAAACAUAAAUUUGUUUUUGAAAAUAGUUGUCAAACCGACUUUCUAUUUUCAUUUUUUUAAAAUAAUAAAGCAAAAACAAAAUUAUGUUUUCGUUUUCAAAAAGCACCUUGGGUAUAAAUAUAAAAGGGUAUAACAUUCCUUAUUCUUCUUCGUUAACUAAUAUUUGGUUUUAGAAUCCUUAUUCUUAUUUGUUAACUAAUAUUUGGUCAUAGAAAAGUUCACAAUUCAUGUCAUACAACUUUCUCAAAUUGGUGAAUUUUCAAUGUAUAAUAGAUGGUGAAAUGUAAUAUGUUCUUUGACAUAUCCUCUUUGAGAUAUCGAAAGUUGGAAAUCAAUGGCAUGUUUUGAAAGUGUUUUUUAAUUUAAAAAUAUAUAUUUGGAUAUGCUUUUCGAAAAUAUGUUUUUGAAAAGAAAUAUUCGAAAAUAUGAAUAUUUUGAAAACAGAACACUAUUUUUUUCAAAAAUCAGUCAACAAAUCCAUUGUUGAUAUUCAACUAUUUAAGUUUCUAAAAUAUAAUUUUAUUCCUAUUUUUUAGGAAUUGUUUUAAGAAAAAAUUUGGUAAUUUAUUCUAAAAAUGAAUUAUUUUUCAAAAUAAGUUUAAAAUAUUUCAAAUGUUUUAAAGAAAAUACUUUGUAAAAUUAUUUAAAAGAAAAAUACUUUGUGAACACGUUUGGCCAUGAUAAGUUGAGAAAGUAGCUUUUUUUAUUUUUUACUUAAGUUUAUAUAAUUAAUUAAAAUAUUUUUAAAAUAGAGAAUUAAAAAUCAUCACUCUUUUAUUCACCAAAUAAAAACAGAAUUUAAAAUAAUAAAAAUAAAUAACAAUAUCUCUUAUUCAUGACUGAUCAUCAUAAAUAAAGAACAACAAAUAGAUAUGUCUCAUCAAUACCUAUAAUCUACCACCUCGAUUCAUAAAAUCCCAACCCAAAUGAAAAAAUUCUAAUGCUUGAAGAGAGCCAUUGCAGCCAAGACCAGCGACGACAACAUCACAGCGCCGGAGAGGCCGGACGAAUGCGCCGAUCCUGCAUCCAUUCCCGGUGCCGGUGCUGGUGCUCCAGCGAAAUCCUGAGCAGAAACGGUGGCGGAAGCGAAGAUUGCGGCCACAAUGAAGGCGACGGCGAUGGCAUUGAAUGUGAUUGCUUGAGCCAUUGUGAGAAAUCGAGAGGCUAAGAGCAAAGGAAAUUGAUUUGAAAUCGGAGAAAGGCGGAGUGAUUGAUGGAAUGAGAGGGUGGAGGUGGUGAAUUUAUAGGGGUUUGGGAGAAGGCGUGUGGGACCAGAUCAAUUGAGUAGAGCGACAGGAAGCUGCGGGUCGUGGACUUCGUCCGUGUGUAAGGUAGGCGGUUGCUGGCUCUUGCCUUCAAAGAAAACUCACCUGCUAAAUUUGAAAUUCUUAUUCUAUAAGAAAUCCAUAAAAAUAAUUGUUGAAAAUUUUAUGCAACUUUUAAUAGUCUUCUUUCCCCACCCCCGCCCCGCCACCACCGCGGGGAAAAAAUACAUCAAAAGAAUAAAUAAAUAAAUAUUUAAAAUUAAUAAAUUAUAUAUAUAUAUAUAUAUAUAUAUAUAUAUAUAUAUAUAUAUAUAUAUAUAUAUAUAUAUAUUUCUUUAAAUUUAUUUUAUUAAUUUUAUUUAGAAGAUUAAAUAAUUUAAAAACAUAUAAAUUUUUAAUGAAUUGUAAUUAUAUUUGUUUUCUUCAUAUUUCUUAUAAUGAAAUUGAAUAUGAAUAUAAGAAAUCAUUUUUUGUAAAAAAGAAAAAUUUCUACUUAGUGAUAUUUUUAGAAAUUAAAAAUAUGAAUAUUCUCAAUCCAUUUUUUAUAUUUUCAAAACAAAAAAUAUUCAUACUUAUUUAUUUUCAAUUAUUAUUCAAAUUUAUAUAAUUAAUCUUUGAUUUCAGGACAAUAAAUAUGUUAAAUAUGUCAAAAAAAUUAUUAAAUAUGUUUUUGAGUUUGAAAAAUAACUUUUUGUUUUUACAAACAAUUGUGAAACAAACUCUAGAUUUUCAUUUAAUAAUAUAAUUUCACGAGUUAUAAUUAAUAUUAUAAAAAAAUUAUUGUUAUGUUUUAUUGUAUAAAACCAUAUUGAGUAUUUUUAACCAUCAUUUUAUUUUACAUAAAAAACUUCAAAAUAUUUUAUUUUUAUGUGUUGAAAGUGAUAUUUUUUUUAACUUACAUUUUAAGCAACUUUUAAAUUAAAAGUUUCUUUUAAUAAAAUUACUUUUCAAGCAUAAAAGGAAAAUUUUCACUUAUUAAAAGUCAAUAUAAAUGGGUUAAGAAAACAAUCCUCCUAAGUUAGAAUUGUCGUGUUAGGAUUUCUUUACUUUAUGCUAAACAAUUAUAACCUUAAUUCCUACAUAACAAUCAUAACCCUAAUUCCUUAAUCAUGCAAAUAAAACCCUAAUUUUGCAUAAAUUAUAAUGGUCAAGGAUUUUAGAACAAUAUGAUUUUUCACAAUCACAUUAUUAAGAAAAGACAUACCUUUUAAUUCGUAGAAACUGUGUUUUUGUCCCUCAACUGUUUCACCCUUAAGUUUUCU
rnacentral:lncRNA from 1 species